rnacentral:tRNA from 1 species
GGAGGUGUGCCAGAGCGGUCGAAUGGGGCGGUCUCGAAAACCGUUGUACACUUUGUGUACCGGGGGUUCGAAUCCCUCCACCUCCG